GAUGAACGCUGGCGGCGUGCCUAAUACAUGCAAGUCGAGCGAACAGACGAGGAGCUUGCUCCUCUGACGUUAGCGGCGGACGGGUGAGUAACACGUGGAUAACCUACCUAUAAGACUGGGAUAACUUCGGGAAACCGGAGCUAAUACCGGAUAAUAUAUUGAACCGCAUGGUUCAAUAGUGAAAGACGGUUUUGCUGUCACUUAUAGAUGGAUCCGCGCCGCAUUAGCUAGUUGGUAAGGUAACGGCCUACCAAGGCAACGAUGCGUAGCCGACCUGAGAGGGGGAUCGACCACACGGGAACUGAGACACGGUCCAGACCCCUACGGGAGGCAGCAGUAGGGAAUCUUCCGCAAUGGGCGAAAGCCUGACGGAGCAACGCCGCGUGAGUGAUGAAGGUCUUCGGAUCGUAAAACUCUGUUAUUAGGGAAGAACAAAUGUGUAAGUAACUAUGCACGUCUUGACGGUACCUAAUCAGAAAGCCACGGCUAACUACGUG
rnacentral:rRNA from 1 species